rnacentral:tRNA from 1 species
AGCAGGGUCAGCUAAANAAGCUAUCGGGCCCAUACCCCGAAAAUGAGGGUUCAUCUCCUUCCCCUGCUA